GGGAAUUUUCCGCAAUGGGCGAAAGCCUGACGGAGCAAUGCCGCGUGGAGGUGGAAGGCCUACGGGUCGUCAACUUCUUUUCUCGGAGAUGAAACAAUGACGGUAUCUGAGGAAUAAGCAUCGGCUAACUCUGUGCCAG
rnacentral:rRNA from 1 species